CUCAACCCCCUCCCUUUGCAUCAGAAAUCGCCGCCGCCGCCGUUAAAGGAUCGGCGAGCGGUCGGUUCUAGCCUUCGUCUCCAGCGAAGCAGGCCUGUUGCCGCCUCUGAGGCCGACGCCGUCCCCUUCGUCUCCAGUCUCUCUUACUGAAACUCACCACGAAAUCCCGCCCUAGCUUCUCUCUGAACUCAGAUGGGAUGCCGCCGCUGCGGCCCUUCUCCGGCGAGACUGGCGUCCCGGCUGUUAGCGCCGCCAGCACACCUUCACCCCUAAAUCAAAAUUGAGCCCUAACUCUCCUUUUGGUUUAGGCGGGUUUGCCACCGCCGUUGCUAAAGGACCGGCUAGGCGGCGGUCCUCUCCUUCUCUCCCUUGUUCUCGAAAAUAGAUUCACGCUCAAGCCCUAGCCUUUUCUCAUCUCUCGGAAUUUAUCGCCGCCUCUGGCGGACGCCACCGCCCCUGAGCUUUUGACGAGGCUAUAGACGUCCUCCCCUCCUCAGUUCUUU
rnacentral:lncRNA from 1 species